AAUCUCUGGCAGAGGCCAGAAACAGGAGUAGGUUUCUUGGCUGCCCGUUCUGAUAAACAAUCUGUUCUUGGAAAACAAAAGGAGAGACUAUUGUUCAGCGUCGGAGGUCGCUGGGAUGGAAGCUGUAGGCAAGAAAGCUGGCUGUGGAUUUUGCAGUGGGUUUAUUGUGUGAGCAACCAGGCAGAAAGCGGGAAUAUGAAAAAGUGGGGAGGGGGAGAGUUGGCGUGAAAGGAAAAUCAGUGCCUAGAAAGCUGUGCACGCUGAAAAUGUCACCAAGGAGAGGGCAGUGGCACCGAAUAAAAGAUGAAUAAUCGGCUACCUUUUGGAAAAAGCAAUGUAAAAAUAUUAAUAAAGGCGAGAAGCCCGCUUCUUGCUCGCUUUCCUUUGGAUUUAAUUACUUGAAAAUGCUGAACAAAAACCUGUAAUUACACCCUUAGUCCCUGCCACUCAGGCCCAGUACACUUCCUGCCU
rnacentral:lncRNA from 1 species